UACGUAGGGGGCAAGCGUUGUCCGGAUUUAUUGGGCGUAAAGAGCGUGUAGGCGGCCAGACAGGUCAGCUGUGAAAACUCGAGGCUCAACCUCGAGACGUCGGUUGAAACCGUCUGGCUAGAGUCCGGAAGAGGAGAGUGGAAUUCCCGGUGUAGCGGUGAAAUGCGUAGAGAUCGGGAGGAAGGCCGGUGGCGAAGGCGGCGCUCUGGACCAUUUCUGACGCUGAGGCUCGAAAGCGUGGGGAGCAAACAGG
rnacentral:rRNA from 1 species